rnacentral:lncRNA from 1 species
UGCUGCCCCGGAGGCUCCGCGACGCGCGCACUCCCUCGCGCCCACCCGCGCGCCCGGCCGCGUCGCCCCCAGCCCGUUGGUCCCCGGACUGCGGACCCCGCCCCCGACGGGGGCCAGGUAACCCGCUUCCGAGUGUGCCACGGCGACCCCCAUCUCCCCUCCCCGUGUCAUAAUAAAUCUCACGUUUUCUGCCGGCUGGAGGCUUGGAGCGGUGAGGUGACGUUCAUUUCGGCCGCGUGAAGUUUUCUUUCAAACUGGGAUUGGUGGGGAGGCCGGGGGAAGGGAGCGGGGCGGCGAUCUUGGCGCCCUGCGCGGAGUCCGGGAGCCGCGUCCCGGCCGAGUCGGGGAGUGUGCGUGGAGCCUCCCACCUACUGGUCUCCGCCGGCAACUCUGCGGCCCCAUUUCGGAAAGCGCACCGCAUUGACCGGGACCUGAAGCGGGAUAAGAGGGGUCCUGGGGAAUAGACUGAGAAAGACAUUCAUGUCUGAGAUGAAGCUCAACUAUUACUAUUUUGAAAGUGCUUUAACAGUGCAAGUUUAAAAACUAAAGUGUUGACUUGCUUUUUCUCCCCCGGGGCAUGUGCCACGUCUUCCAAAGUCAAAGGAACGGAUGAGUACAAAAAGUUGCUACCCUUGAAGUGUUACCUAUCACUAUCAACCACAGCUUGUUUAUUUGGAAAGAACUUAAGUGAACCGUCAAGAGAAAAACAAAUGCAUAUUCUUUCUACAAAUAGUAGCAUUUAGUAUCUUUCCUGACCACAUUUGCGAAAAGAGGGAAUAGAGACUUCUAUAAUUAAAGGGAAAAGGAAAAUGAAAGGAGCUGAAAAUAGUGAACUGUGUAGUCUGGAUGGCUGAAAUUUGAAAACACAUGAAAUUAUCAGGACUGCCAAACGGUGUUCCUGAGAAACCAUAUCACAGAUUGUGAAGAAAAUCAAUGCUAGAAGAGUCGGAACAGGCACCGUACUCUUACUCCUUUGAAGAAUCCCAGAAAUAGUUGUUGAGGUUUUUUUUUUCUGCUGAGAAAAAAAGAUAUAUUGGAAAUUAAGUCAUCAACAGUACCUUAAGCACCACUCUGUAGGUAAUUUUGGAUAGUGUCUUUUCUUUACAUUUUGAUAUAGGGAAGGAAUUAAUUCACAUCGACACAAACGAAGUAAUGGAUACCAUAUAACUUGUGUGAUACUGUAGCUUUUAUAAUGAAUUACUUCUUGAAAGUUUUUUUUCCUAUACAAUGUAUUAUUAAACAAUUGUAACGAUAGUCUCUUUUUGUUUAACUAUAGAAAAUGGUAGAUAGUGUGGUACAGCAAACAAGAUUAACAAAUUUUCGUUGGAGAGAAAUUAUUUGGGCUCAGGCUUGCAAUAACAUUAUGAUGAUUUUAAGAAAAAUUGCAGUUCCUGUGAGUUAUAUAUUGAUAAGGCAGAUUUUUAAACACUUAGUUGCUAAAAUUAGUUUUCCUAAAGUCGUAUUUGGGAAAGUCUGAGUAGAGAACCAGUAAGUCACUCUAAUCAUCCCAACAGAGAGCAAAUAUUUUAGUCUUAAAUUACCUCAAAAAAUCUGUAUGUCGUUUAUAAUAUGUAAAUGCACAAUAUGUAAAGGAUAACAUAAGUUCUCGAAAUUGUCAUAAGUCCUUCCUAAAAACUGAACCUAAGUGUUUAGGUAUCUGUACUGUUACAGAGAUCCUUGAAAAUAUGAAAUAAAGAUAAUCGAAAUUAAGAUGAAAUGUCUGAUAGUUUACACAAUGUAAUUAUUUGGUAGAAGAGGAUCCAUUGUGAAAUCUUAAAGAUACAUCCUCACAGUUACCAAGUUGAUGUAGUCCUUGCCCCUGGUUUAUUGAAGCUUAAUUUAGCUUCCUUGAAGCUGGUCCUUUUCAAGAGUUAACUUUCACUGGCUGCCUAGUCACCAGAGGCACACUUUCUCCCUCUAGUGGCUAAGGCUUCAGACACUACAUUCUGUCACCCUGCCUCCCCCUGAAUGGAUCCCAGAUUUUAGAAUAACAAAGAUCUCAUGACCACCUGGGAGAAUUGGACCAUCUUGGCAAAUGUUUCCCUCUUUUUAACAUCCUACAUUCCUUUCUUAUUUGCAGGUUAUGGUGUAUCUAACUCAUCCAGAGAAAUCAAGAUUAUGUUUUCAUACCAAGAUUGGGGGUUUUAUUUCAUGCCUGUGGAGUCUAUAGUCCUAAGAUUCACAAUGCAAUCCACUCAUGGGAAAGAACCCUUGCAUAAACUGUAAUUCACUUUGUUCAGAAUUUCUCUGGGUAGUUUUGUUUGUUUGUUCGUUUUGGUUUUGUUUUUGUUGAGACAGAGUCUCACUCUGUCACCCAGGCUGGAGUGCAGUGGCGCCGUCUCGGCUCACUACAAUCUCUGCUUCCUGGGUUCAUGCGAUUCUCCUGCCUCAGCCUUCUGAGUAGCUGGGAUCACAGGCGC